AGACAUGUAGAUAAUAAGGUAAAGCUUUAAUUAAAUUAAAUUUAAUUUAAAAUUACUAGGUUCAAAUCCUAGCGUGUCUA
rnacentral:tRNA from 1 species